GUCCGGCAGCAGCGGUAAUACGAAGGGGGCUUGCGGUGUUCGGAUUUACUGGGGGUAAAGCGCACGUAGGCGGUGUGUUAAGUCAGGGGUUAACUCCCGGAGCUCAACUCCGGAACUGCCUUUGAUACUGGCAAGCUAGAGUCCGGAAGAGGUAAGUGGAACUCCUAGUGUAGAGGUGGAAUUCGUAGAUAUUAGGAAGAACACCAGUGGCGAAGGCGGCUUACUGGUCCGGAACUGACGCUGAGGUGCGAAAGCGUGGGGAGCAAACAGGAUUAGAUACCCUUGUAGUCAGGGUACGUAG
rnacentral:rRNA from 1 species